rnacentral:misc_RNA from 1 species
AAGUCGUAACAAGGUUUCCGUAGGUGAACCUGCGGAAGGAUCAUUAACACGUUUUAACACGCUGUUGAAAAUCUUUACCCCUCUGUGAACGAAACUACUCUAACAACUGGAAAUCCUGUGCUGUGCUUCUCGCCAGAGACGCGGUCAGGUCGUUUGUGUGGUGGUUCAUCCAUCAUCCAGACGUUAACCCAACAAAACCCUUGAACCUUUCUGAUCUGAAACAACAUUUCCAAUCGGCGUUCGCGUCAUGGAAAUUCAAACCAAAAAACAACUCUUAACAACGGAUAUCUUGGUUCUC